rnacentral:rRNA from 1 species
AGUAACGCGUAUCCAACCUGCCGCGAAGCAAGGGAUAACCUCCCGAAAGGGAGCCUAAUACCUUAUGUUCUGUGAAGAGGGCAUCUGACUCACAGCAAAGGCCUGGGCCGCUUCGCGAUGGGGAUGCGUCCGAUUAGGCAGCAGGCGGGGCAACGGCCCACCUGGCCAACGAUCGGUAGGGGUUCUGAGAGGAAGGUCCCCCACAUUGGAACUGAGACACGGUCCAAACUCCUACGGGAGGCAGCAGUGAGGAAUAUUGGUCAAUGGGCGUAAGCCUGAACCAGCCAAGUAGCGUGCAGGACGACGGCCCUAUGGGUUGUAAACUGCUUUUAUGCGGGGAUAAAGCCACUUACGUGUAAGUGUUUGCAGGUACCGCAUGAAUAAGGACCGGCUAAUUCCGUGCCAACAGCCGCGGUAAUACGGAAGGUCCGGGCGUUAUCCGGAUUUAUUGGGUUUAAAGGGAGCGUAGGCCGCGGGUCAAGCGUGUUGUGAAAUGCAAGUGCUCAACAUCUGGAUUGCAGCGCGAACUGGCCCGCUUGAGUGCGCGCAACGCAGGCGGAAUUCGUCGUGUAGCGGUGAAAUGCUUAGAUAUGACGAAGAACCCCGAUUGCGAAGGCAGCUUGCGGGAGCGCAACUGACGCUGAAGCUCGAAAGUGCGGGUAUCGAACAGGAUUAGAUACCCUGGUAGUCCGCACGGUAAACGAUGGAUGCCCGCUAUCGGCGCCUGGCGCCGGUGGCCAAGCGAAAGCGUUAAGCAUCCCACCUGGGGAGUACGCCGGCAACGGUGAAACUCAAAGGAA